GAUGAACGCUGGCGGCGUGCCUAAUACAUGCAAGUCGAGCGGACGGACGAGAAGCUUGCUUCUCUGAUGUUAGCGGCGGACGGGUGAGUAACACGUGGGUAACCUACCUAUAAGACUGGGAUAACUUCGGGAAACCGGAGCUAAUACCGGAUAAUAUUUUGAACCGCAUGGUUCAAAAGUGAAAGACGGUCUUGCUGUCACUUAUAGAUGGAUCCGCGCUGCAUUAGCUAGUUGGUAAGGUAACGGCUUACCAAGGCAACGAUGCAUAGCCGGCCUGAGAGGGUGAUCGGCCACACUGGAACUGAGACACGGUCCAGACUCCUACGGGAGGCAGCAGUAGGGAAUCUUCCGCAAUGGGCGAAAGCCUGACGGAGCAACGCCGCGUGAGUGAUGAAGGUCUUCGGAUCGUAAAACUCUGUUAUUAGGGAAGAACAUAUGUGUAAGUAACUGUGCACAUCUUGACGGUACCUAAUCAGAAAGCCACGGCUAACUACGUG
rnacentral:rRNA from 1 species